CAAAUAUGGCGGGAGCUGUGUCUGUGGAAAGGGAUGACCUGCAUAUUUCGUUGUUUUUAAGUGAAAAUUGCCUUUGAUUUGUUUUUAUCCAUAUGUCACAUCUGAAACACUUCUCUUAAGAAUGUCUAGGCAAUAUACGCGCAAUUAUUUCUACCAGGCUUGGCUUUGUUGAAAGAUAUCAUGCAUCCAGGGCAUAACAUUUUGUAUGUCCUGAACCGCCGGGGGAGCAGAUCGCUUGCAAUCACAGUAGCGAGGCAUCACUGCCAUCAGAUGCUGUCUGUAGCAGACCAUGGGUUUAAUGCUGCCUCUUCUCUCCACUUAUCACAGGAACACAUCUCAAAAGAUGCCAAUUUCUGAAGAGUAUGAUGAUAGGGAGAAAAUAAGAAUGAACAGUGGUCGAACAAUGUGUAUACUGCCUUUCAGUGGGAAUUGGAGUACAUUGAACAUGUGGUUGCCAUAGUAACUGAUAUUUAAACAACUUCUUUCUCAUUAAAUAUAUGCUUAUGUCAUAAUGAUGGUGUUAAGUUUUAUUUGUUAUUAAUGGUAAUAGUCAGUGUAUAUAUGUUAACAACAUACAUUGAUUUAAAAGCACCAUGCUUAAUUUGAUAGUGUGAUAAUAUUCAGUCAGUAUUUUUCAAA